UUUCGUCUGUAGUAAAUGAGGAUGAGAACCUCCGAAGGAGGUUUGAGCCGCGCGAAGCGAGACAACGUUGCUUUAGCAACGACCCGCAGGGCAAGCAUCGAAGAUGCGCGUCAUCCUCUCUCGCCGACCA
rnacentral:sRNA from 1 species